GAACGGUUCUGCUCCAAGAUAGCCUAAUCCUUGGAUAAGUAUCAUGAGGUGAGAAUCCCGUUCAUGGUAAUCUUAAGGAAGCUCUACGAUACGUUUUCCAAGAGUCGAGUUGUUUGGGAUUGCAGCUCAAAAUGGGAGGUAAAUUUCUCCUAAGGCUAAAUAUUGGCGAGAGACCGAUAGCGAACAAGUACCGUGAGGGAAAGAUGAAAAGAACUUUGAAAAGAGAGUUAAACAGUACGUGAAAUUGUUGAAAGGGAAACGAUUGAAGUCAGUCAUACCAACGGGAAAUCAACCUUUUGAGCUUGGUUUCGUGGGUUUUGAAGAGUUUCAAAGCCUUCGGAUUCGCGAGAUUGGGAUCUCUUGGUGUACUUUUUCGUACGGUUAGUCAACAUCGGUUUUGAAUGUCAUAAAAUGACUGGAGGAAUGUAGCUUCGAUCUCGUAUUGAAGUGUUAUAGCCUUUGGUAGAUGUGAUGUUUGAGACCGAGGAUUGCAACGGAUACCCUUUAGGGCUAUUCGUCUGAUCUCUGAUACGUUGCCCUGAUGUUGAAAGCUUGC
rnacentral:rRNA from 1 species